UGCAGCGGUAGUUCAGUUGGUUAGAAUACCGGCCUGUCACGCCGGGGGUCGCGGGUUCGAGCCCCGUCCGCUGCGCC
rnacentral:tRNA from 1 species